rnacentral:ncRNA from 1 species
CAUCGUGAGGUGGAAUCUGAAGGAAGCCGGCGGCAAACCUCCGGCCUGACGAACAGAAACCGUAUACAGGCUGUCGCUUGGGAUAAGGCCGCGAUCCAGGCCAAAGUCCAGUAGCUGCACGGAACAAGCGGUGGCAGAUGCGGCAGGCAGAUGGGGGAAAGAAA